CCUACGGGUGGCUGCAGUGGGGAAUAUUGGACAAUGGGGGGAACCCUGAUCCAGCGACGCCGCGUGAGUGAAGAAGUAUUUCGGUAUGUAAAGCUCUAUCAGCAGGGAAGAAAGAAAGGACGGUACCUGACUAAGAAGCCCCGGCUAACUACGUGCCAGCAGCCGCGGUAAUACGUAGGGGGCAAGCGUUAUCCGGAUUUACUGGGUGUAAGGGGAGCGUAGACGGUUACGCAAGUCUGGAGUGAAAGGCGGGGGCACAACCCCCGGACUGCUUUGGAAACUGUAUAACUGGAGUGCAGGAGAGGUAAGUGGAAUUCCUAGUGUAGCGGUGAAAUGCGUAGAUAUUAGGAGGAACACCAGUGGCGAAGGCGGCUUACUGGACUGCAACUGACGUUGAGGCUCGAAAGCGUGGGGAGCAAACAGGAUUAGAUACCCUAGUAGUC
rnacentral:rRNA from 1 species